GGAUCGUAGCUAAUGACUACCAUCUUCGGGGUUAAGAUACCAGCAUCAAUAUGGUACUGAAUACUAGUUGUAUCUUUUCUGCCGAUUCUCCAGUAUGAGUAAAAACUACCGUUUGGGCUGCGUGAAACGCGCCGGGUCCACC
rnacentral:ncRNA from 1 species